rnacentral:other from 1 species
AGACCCCUGCCGUGUUUGUGAUUGAGAGAUGUUCUUUGACCCAACAUUUAUAUUAAAGGGAGCUUUCACUGGUUUUGGUGUGCAUGUUCUGUUUGUAUGGAAAAGCCUAAAGAAACUAUAAGGCACCCACCUUGCAAAUUGGUUCAAAGACCUUUCAACACGGCUCUGUGCGGGGGUUAU